rnacentral:rRNA from 1 species
CGUCUAUAUACGUAUAGCAUAUCAAUAAGCGGAGGAAAAGAAACUAACAAGGAUUCCCUUAGUAACGGCGAGUGAAGCGGGAAGAGCUCAAAUUUGAAAUCUUCAAGGGUUUCCCUUGACGAAUUGUAGUUUAAAGAAGUGUUUUCUGUUAGAGAGGUGGUAAAAGUUCUUUGGAAUAGGACAUCAUAGAGGGUGAGAAUCCCGUAUUUGACCGUUACUUUCCAGCUGUGUGAUACACUUUCAAAGAGUCGGAUUGUUUGGGAAUGCAGUCCAAAAUGGGUGGUAAAUUUCAUCUAAAGCUAAAUAUUGGCGAGAGACCGAUAGCGAACAAGUACCGUGAGGGAAAGAUGAAAAGAACUUUGAAAAGAGAGUUAAACAGUACGUGAAAUUGUCAAAAGGGAAGCGUUUGACACCAGUGUUGUUUAGUUGAAAAUCAAUUCAAUAAUUUUUGAUUUUAAGUAGUAUUGACUUCAUCAGCUUGCUGCUUUCUUUUCAGGAAUUAUUGAAUGCACUUUUCAGUUAACAAGUCAACAUCAAUUUCUUUUGUUGUAAAAGGGUAAGAGGAAGGUGGCUUACGUUUCGGCGUAAGUGUUUAUAGCCUUUUACCUCUGCAAUCGGAGAGAUUGAGGCCAGCAGCGUAGACUCCUUCUGGGGUUAGAUGCAUUUGUGCUAAGUUAUAGCCAAGUAUAGACAACUUGUUGACUAUGCCUAGUCUUGUAGCUUACUCGCAGAUGUUAUUUUACCUACGCUUAGGAUGUUGAUAUGCAUGACUGAUAU